UUAGAUGUCUCCAAAACCCAAGA
rnacentral:siRNA from 1 species